AAAUACAUAGCAUAGGCAUGGAAACAAAAUUCAUGAACAUGGCAUAACAUAGUGUGACACACAUUGUCACACUCAACUUGAUCACAUCAUAUCUUUCAAUCCAGAAAAGCAAAAUUAGCAAACUAUACAUCAAAAUCACCAAAAAAGAGUCAAGAAUAUGCAUGUAAAAUUUCACCAAUUUUGGAUAAGGCAUCAUUAUUUCAUAAUCAAUAUGGCAAAACAUACACAUAAAUGACAC
rnacentral:lncRNA from 1 species